rnacentral:rRNA from 1 species
CCUACGGGCGGCAGCAGUGGGGAAUAUUGCACAAUGGGGGGAACCCUGAUGCAGCGACGCCGCGUGAGUGAAGAAGUAUUUCGGUAUGUAAAGCUCUAUCAGCAGGGAAGAAGAUGACGGUACCUGACUAAGAAGCCCCGGCUAACUACGUGCCAGCAGCCGCGGUAAUACGUAGGGGGCCAGCGUUAUCCGGAUUUACUGGGUGUAAAGGGGGCGUAGACGGGAGGGCAAGUCCGGAGUGAAAGCCCGGGGGCCAACCCCGGGACUGCUUUGGAAACUGCCAUGCUAGAGUGCUGGAGAGGUAAGCGGAAUUCCUGGUGUAGCGGUGAAAUGCGUAGAUAUUAGGAGGAACACCAGUGGCGAAGGCGGCUUACUGGACAGUAACUGACGUUGAGGCUCGAAAGCGUGGGGAGCAAACAGGAUUAGAUACCCCAGUAGUC